ACUCCUACGGGAGGCAGCAGUAGGGAAUAUUGGUCAAUGGACGGAAGUCUGAACCAGCCAUGCCGCGUGCAGGAAGACGGCCUUCUGGGUUGUAAACUGCUUUUAUCAGGGUAAGAAUAAGCUUCUUGCGAGAGGUGAUGCCGGUACCUGAGGAAUAAGCACCGGCUAACUCCGUGCCAGCAGCCGCGGUAAUACGGAGGGUGCAAGCGUUGUCCGGAUUUAUUGGGUUUAAAGGU
rnacentral:rRNA from 1 species